UUGGAAAGGCCUGUGGUAGUAUUCUCC
rnacentral:piRNA from 1 species